UGAACAGAGAGGGAGACUUAAAGAAUGCUAGUGUUUGGCUUCCCGACAGGAGAAUUUGACUUGAGAGGGUGUGAAUCACAGGGAAGGCUGUACUAAUAAAGCUGGGCGUCUGCAGGAAGCAGUCUUGGAAGAUUUCGGAGGUAAAUUCCAAUUAGAAGAUAAAAGAAAAAGAAACCUCUUGCUAAAACAAGAUCGUGUGAUGAUAUUCGCAGCUGGGAGCUCAGCGAGAAUGCAGAGGUGAUAAUAAAACACAAGUGGAGAAGGGACACGUUAAAGAACUAAAUGAAUACAGAGAGGACAGAUCUAGAAGGGUGACUGUAUCGCCGGAGGUCAGGCAAUCCAGAACCAGCCAGAACUGGAGAGAAAACCCAGGGUCCUGCGUCCUAUGUUGGGAAGACUUCAGGAAGGCGCCUGCCACCUCUGAAUGAAGAACAUCAACAGCCUUCCUUUGCUCUUGAUUCAGUAGGGGUGGUUGUCUGGCCUGGUGGUCGACCAGGACUUCAUAGUCAAGACUCUGUCCGCACCACCCUUGCCUGCUGGUUAGCUCAGUGAGAGUUGGUCCACAGGACUGGAAACAGAGAAUGAGGCCAACAGCCAAAGAGAGUACUCCUGAGGACGGCUGACCUGCUGUCCCCGUCCCACACUACACUCCUGUCCACUUCACCCUGCCGUGCCCACUAGGGGUGGUGGUGAAGGCGCACACUGGCACAGAGGGCUCCGUGAUGACCUGAACUCUUAAGGAGACCCCAUGCGUGCAUGCUGCUAUGACAGACAGGAGAAGAGGAGCCUGGAACUGCAAGCCGGCGGUAGGAACUGCACCUCUGAUCCCGUGGGGCAAGCCCUCCCCUCCUGCCUGUGAUAUGCAG